CUUGUGAUGCCACCACCUGCCUCUCCGGUCGCUGCCGGCCGUCUCCGGCGCCGCCGCACGCCAGCGUCGCUCUGCUCUGGCCUCCUGCUCUGGUUUUCCGCCGCCGCGAUGCGCUAUCACACCCUUCGGCACUACCCCGCGAAACCCUAGCCCCAUUGUUCGGCCGCCGGCGCGGCACCCAUUCAUCCGCGCCUCCGGCUGCCCCUCCACGUCGACCAGAGCGCGCCCUCGCCUGACCCAGAGCGCGCCUCUGCCUCGGAUUGCAGAGCGCACGGUGUCGGGCCUGAAGCGGCGCGACGACGACGUGCUCGCGGCGGCCAACGCGGCCACGGCGGAGCUCGAGGCCGCCAAGCGCGCGCGGGAGGCGGCGGAGACGGACCUGCGCGGGAGCCAGGUGCAGGCCUCCAUCGCCGCCGCGGCCAUCCAUGCGCUCGAUGUCCCUCCUCGUCUCCCUCCCUCCCCGCCGAAUUGGCGAAUCAUUUCUCCCAGUUCGCCUGAUUUGAUUUCAAUUUCGCCGUGUUUUGGCGCGUGCAGGCGACCAUCUCGCAUCUCCAGGAGGAGAUCGCCAAGGUGGGAUCCAAGCCGGAGGAGCUUAAGGUCAGAAACCUCGCAAAUCGCAUUGAAUCAGGGUCCUACUAGUCUCUGUUGCUUUAACAUGACGCGCUUGUGUGCUUUUGGUGCUGUGUGUAUGUAUGAUUGGCGUCGGUGGGGUUGCGCUUUUGGUGCUUGAUGUAAUGUCUCUGCAGAGCAAGGAAGACACUGAGAGAGACGAGUUCAUCAGCCAGAUGGUUGAAAUGAAUGCAAGGAUAAGAUGGCUUCUUUUGAAUUAGCAAGGAAAUGCUCUGAAGUGUCAACAGAUGGUGAGCAAGGCAAGGCAGCAGACGGUAAUCAAGUCAAGGGAACAGAUGGUAAGCAGUGUAACUUAGUUUUCUUGAAUCCCUUAAGAAGGGGUUCCUGUUAAUUUGCAGCAUCCGUUUUAUUUCGGCUUCGUUGCUUAUACAUAGUUGUUUAUUUCCUUUUAUAGAAAAUGAACCGCGGAUAUUGUACUUCUAUGUAAUGCAUUAAUAUUGUCUUUAGUCGGGUCAAUCUGGUGUUUUGUUGCGCUGUAGAAGACUAAGAUUGCAUAUAAUAAGGCGAUGGCUGAUAAGAUGCUAUUUAAUUAUAUUUCUCCAUGAUAGUAUAAACUUGUGAUUGAAGAUAAAGAAAAGCUUCAGAAUGUUCGAUUCAGUGUUCUGUUUCGACUAACAGUCAUCAGUAUGUUUGCAUAACUGUUUCUGUUAAAGCUUUUCCAUAGAAGCUGCCAUU